UAUCUGUCAGCUAAGUGGCGCACGGGUGAGUAAUGUAUAGAUAACCUGCCCUCUAGAAAGGAAUAACAGUUGGAAACGACUGCUAAUGCCCUAUAUGCCUUUAAUACAUAAGUAUGCAAGGGAAACGCUUUAGUGCUAGAGGAUGGGUCUGUAUGGUAUCAGCUAGUUGGUGAGGUAAUGGCUCACCAAGGCUAUGACGCCUAACUGGUUUGAGAGGAUGAUCAGUCACACUGGAACUGAGACACGGUCCAGACUCCUACGGGAGGCAGCAGUGGGGAAUAUUGCACAAUGGACGAAAGUCUGAUGCAGCAACGCCGCGUGGAGGAUGACACAUUUCGGUGCGUAAACUCCUUUUAUAUAGGAAGAUAAUGACGGUACUAUAUGAAUAAGCACCGGCUAACUCCGUGCCAGCAGCCGCGGUAAUACGGAGGGUGCAAGCGUUACUCGGAAUCACUGGGCGUAAAGAGCGUGUAGGCGGGUAUAUAAGUCAGAAGUGAAAUCCUAUAGCUUAACUAUAGAACUGCUUUUGAAACUGUAUACCUAGAAUGUGGGAGAGGUAGAUGGAAUUUCUGGUGUAGGGGU
rnacentral:rRNA from 1 species